GCUCUCCUCAACAGCUUGCCGGUAAAUUUCUUUCCACUUGAUAUUUUACUGGAAUUAAAAUUAUGUUGAAGCACCCAUUAGCAUUCUUAGAAAGUGAAAAAAUAACAAAUAAUUUGAAGAUUUAAAAAAAAAAGAGUUUCAUUAGUCUAUUAUGGCUUCAUGCCUGUGGAUAAUAUACUCAUACAAAUGGGGCUGGAAAAGUUACUUGAGGCGAUCUGAGUUGUGUAUCAUUUAUCAAAAAGCUAAAUGAUGCAGUAUUGGAAGCUUAGAAAU
rnacentral:misc_RNA from 1 species